UAAAAAAUAAAUAAAGCAGAUCCAGUUAUCUCUCCCGUGUGGAGUUACCGGCCACCGCUCGCUGCGCUUCCCUCUGCCCUAACCCACCAAGCGACCAUCCGCCCCUCUCCCGCGGAGUCGCCGGCCACCGCGCAGCCCCUCAUACGUCCCCCUUGCGCGCAGCCUGUUCUCCGUCGCCCCUCGCGCGAAGCCUGUUCUCCGUCGCCCUUGCGCGCUGCAAGCGCCACACCGCGCCCCGAUUCUCCGCAGUGUACAUCCGCUGCUCGCCGCCGCCGUCCUGCCAACCUGACUCCUCCGACCUGUGGCGGUUUUCGCCGCGCAGCCCAUCCGCCGCUGAUUCAUGGAGGUCCUCGUCCGUACGGCCUGUGCACCGUGAGCCGAGACGUCGAGGAGGAGCUCAGGAGAGAGAUGGAGGGCUUUUGCUCUUUUGGUUGAUGACAUGGUCUGGAACCUGUAGUUUGAUGUGAUGAUCACUCAUCGCCUGCCGCCAUCGCCCAGCCCUCCACUGCCGUCUCAGCAGACCAUCAUGAGCGGUGGACAUUUUAUAUGCAACUUUUGAAUUAUUGCAUAAGCUUCCACAUUGCAGACUUUUUCAUGCAGUUUUUUGUAUUCAAAUUUGGAGAUGUUGUUUAUUUAGUAUUCUUCAGCUUGUGCUAAAGUAUUAUGCUGACCUUAAGCUAUUUGACGAUCUGUAAUACACAUAUUCGACAUGAACUCAGCAAAAUCUUAAAUUGUUUAAUUGGAAGAAUCAAAACUUAUAACUAGCCUAUGAAUCUGGUCCACUGGAGCACAUAAACUUGUUUUUUUUUACAACCACAAGAUUUAAAGUUGGUAAAGAGUUAACUACUUUCAAGGUUUACUCGUUGAUCAUGAGUUUUGUUACUAAUUGGCACACAUUGUAAUAUCCCCUCUUCUGACCUGAAGGUAUAUAUAUACUUUUUAACUUUCUGGUUCUUAGUUGUUUAUUUUUCAAAUGAACAAUAAAAUCUGCUUGGUAUGGCCUUUUGAGAAGCAAAAGUGCAGGAAUUAGUAUGUGUUGCAGGAAUCAGAAACAAAUGUGCAUUCAAAAUUUCUGGCAAGACAAACAAGAAUAUGUCAUCAAAGAAUUCCUAAUAAAGAGAAAUCCAAUAGCUAUACGUGAGCGAGCACUCGCUAAUCACCUCCAAUUCUUCUAUCUUGGAUUACAAGAAAGAUCUGAUUUCUCAGUUAAAUGUUACUUUUUUUAUUUCAUAAAUUCUUUUUACAAAUAAAAUUCCUAAUGAGCUUGAACCAUCUACUUUGUAUUAGAGUGGAGUUAGGAUGAACAUUCAUUGUUUACAGAAGCAAUGAGAUGUUUGUCUCUUUUGAUUUGAACUAAACUAUAGUUUUCUACAUUAUUUUUCUGACUUCUACUUCAUGUGUUCUAUGUCUUCUAGAUGAGAAAAAUCUCUCGUAUGCUUUCAUGCUGAUUGUAUAUUAAGAACUUAAUUUGAACCCCAAGUCACAUUAUCUUUUAAUUGCUUAUGCAGUUUUGUUAAUUUGAGUGCUAAGUCCCUUGAACUGUUCAACAUUAUUAUUUUUAAUUAUAUAUCGUGCCCAUGUGUUAACUUGGAACAAUCCAGAUUGGUUCUAGGGAGUAACUUCAGAUGAACCCGUUUUGCUAUAGUAUUCCAAUCCAUAUUAGUUGUCACUGAUUUAGUAAGAUUUUGUACUAAAUCAGCGACAACUAAUCUGGAUCGGAGGGAGUUGUGAAGAUGUUCAGUCAGUUUAACUUUUAAGUGUGGAUGUUACAAUCUCACCGGAGCAUUAUUUUAUUUUAUUUUAUUUUUAAGUCUGUUGUGCAAGGUUAUCGUGGGUUUAGUGCUUUGUUGACAUAUCAAUGUAAUGUCUCAGUGGUCCAUGCCGAAUUGAUAUAGGUAGGAAUUUGAAUUCAUAUAUAAACAAUAUUACAUGUUAGCAUGUAUUCAAGAAAUCGCUAUCUUUUCAUUUUCUCGUAUUGUAUCUCUCUAUGAUGAGCCUCUGUGUUCUCUACCUUUCUUAGUAGAGGUGUAACACGUGUAGAUAUAUAGAUUUGCUCUCAUGAAGUCUCAAUAUAUGCAAAAAUUGAACAUGUUUUGAGAGUUAUAUAUGUUUUGCAAAAAUCAAACAACAAAGAACGUUGUGGUUCCAUAAUAAUGGAAGGUGGUUCCGUAGCAGCGCAUGGGCACCUAACUAGUAUAAUAGAUUUCUCAACGAGAACAUCAAAUUCUUCAAAGCACAAACACAUAGAGAAGGGAAAAGGAAGAACAACGUGGACGCCCUGGCAGAAUCGAAACGAUUGCUACAGUACCAAUAUUUAAAGUGCAGACCUAGAAUUAAAUAUUAAACAGUACUAGUGACAACACGAAAACACGAGGCACAAAACAAAUAUCCCCAACAAACACCACAGGGAGACUUUUCAGCGACUAGUCUAGUGCCAGUGCAUUGUAACCGAAAGAUAAACAUCUUAUCACUUAAUAAGAAGAAUGAAGCUGGAAGGAUAACUGAAAUCAGAAAAGCUUCAGAAGGUUUUGUUUACCUUGUGAGUGCCAAAUGGUUGCAUGCAUGCGUCCUAACUGUUUCGAUGCAAGUUUAAACUCCUACCGUGACUCGAUAAUUAACAUUUCAUUCCCGGAUCCCAUUACUCAUGUAAGUGUCAAUGGAGUUACAGCCUUACAGGUCCACGAGCAACUGUGAACCUACCGUCAAUGGUCUUCUUAAGGAGAUAAAGUCGGUCCGCAGAAAAUUAUAUUAAGGACCACACACUUCUAUCAAGAUUGCAGAGUGGGGUGAGGAUGAAAUAGGCAGUGCAAUUGUGAAGCAACUGGGCUAAGUAGCUUCUGGGAGACCAAGUUUCUCACGCUCAUUUUGAUAGCCUAAACUAUAUUGGGCUGAAUUAUUUUAUGAUAUCAAUUGCAUGUUUCUUUCCAAAGGCUGAAGUAAAGCUGUUCAAUGCAAGUCAUGGUUCCAUACUUUAUAAUACUCUCAUCAUCUUUUUUAUCACAGGAUGAAUUUUGCUUCUGUCAACAAAAUGAUGUUUUUCAUAUGUAGGGAGUUGUAACUAAGGCCAUGAGCCAUGAUUAUGCUCCUCUAUAUCUGCUGCACUCAGGAACAGUACGUGUUUCAGCUUUAUAAACUUCAGAUAGUGCAAAGUAAAAAAAUAAUAGCAAGUCAGUUGUGCACACAUUCUAUGUAUAAGUUGUGGCACAUGCAGCCUGUCACAGACUUGGUCUGAGGAGAUAGCAGCACUUGAGGAGGAAGUUGUUCGCAGGCAAUUGCAUUUUCUUUCCCUCUACAAGGCAACAUUUGAUAUAUACCUGGGUAUCUCCUGAGUGUCUCUGGUCAGGCAAUAUUUGUUUUGAAAAAAUUGAACAGAUACUAUUGUCUGAAAUAGCAAAACGAUUUGUAUCAUCAGUUUCUGGAACAGUUGACUUGAAGAAACUAUUUGACCCUUCAA